rnacentral:rRNA from 1 species
UACGGAGGGGGCUAGCGUUGUUCGGAAUUACUGGGCGUAAAGCGCACGUAGGCGGCUUUGUAAGUUAGAGGUGAAAGCCCAGGGCUUAACCCUGGAAUUGCCUUUAAGACUGCAUCGCUAGAAUCGUGGAGAGGUAAGUGGAAUUCCGAGUGUAGAGGUGAAAUUCGUAGAUAUUCGGAAGAGCACCAGUGGCGAAGGCGGCU